rnacentral:rRNA from 1 species
GGGCCCGCACAAGCGGUGGAGCAUGUGGUUUAAUUCGAUGAUACGCGAGGAACCUUACCAGGGCUUAAAUGUAGUGGGACAGGUCUAGAGAUAGACCCUUCUUCGGACUCAUUACAAGGUGCUGCAUGGUUGUCGUCAGCUCGUGCCGUGAGGUGUCAGGUUAAGUCCUAUAACGAGCGCAACCCCUAUCGUUAGUUGCCAGCGGUUAGGCCGGGAACUCUAAGGAGACUGCCGAUGACAAAUCGGAGGAAGGUGGGGACGACGUCAAGUCAUCAUGGCCCUUACGUGUAGGGCUACACACGUGCUACAAUGGCCGGUACAAACGGUUGCGAACCCGCGAGGGAAGCUAA